rnacentral:tRNA from 1 species
CAUUAAGUAACUUAAAGUAAGUAUAGGUCUCUUAAACCAACUCAUAAUAAUUAACAACUAUUCUUAAUGA